UAAGGAAUAUUGGUCAAUGGACGGAAGUCUGAACCAGCCAUGCCGCGUGAAGGAUGACGGUCCUCUGGAUUGUAAACUUCUUUUAUGUGGGAAGAAACCCGGGAAUUCUUUUCCGGUUGACGGUACCAUAGGAAUAAGCACCGGCUAACUCCGUGCCAGCAGCCGCGGUAAUACGGAGGGUGCGAGCGUUAUCCGGAUUCACUGGGUUUAAAGGGUGCGUAGGUGGGCUUGUAAGUCAGUGGUGAAAUCUCCGGGCUUAACCUGGAAACUGCCAUUGAUACUACAGGUCUUGAAUUUUCUGGAGGUAAGCGGAAUAUGUCAUGUAGCGGUGAAAUGCUUAGAUAUGACAUAGAACACCAAUUGCGAAGGCAGCUUGCUACAGGAUUAUUGACACUGAGGCACGAAAGCGUGGGGAUCAAACAG
rnacentral:rRNA from 1 species